CUAUACACACAAAUAAAUGAAAGUAAAUUAUAAGUAAGAUAAGGGGCCACCAUUGAAGUGUGAUACAAUAUUCAAAUCUUUAUAUUUUAUGGUUUUCAUUUUCAAGGUUUCCUUCUCAAUGAUUUCUAGGUUUCUCUCUCUAAAAUGUUAGGUUUUCAAUUGAUUUCAACUACAAGCUCACCAAGGUAAGUUGAACAAGGGGUGAAGAAUUAAGCAAGUUCAAACUCUCAAGGCAAGACUGUGAGGCAAGUUCUUCAGCUUGUAAGCCUUGUUUACUCGCAGAUCAAGAAGGGAAGGGAAAGUUCUUAACAAAUGAUAAAUUUACUUAUACUUUUGAAGAAUUUGAAUAAGCUUUCAAUGACAUGGUACAUAAGUAUGACAAAGUAAAUUUGGAAAAUGAAGAAAGGAUUUCAAGUCUCAACAUUGAAAAUAACUUCUUGACAAAUGUAAACCCUGAGCUAGAAGACGAAAGUAAAAAAUUGAAAACGAAAUUCAAACUGUGUCAAAAGAAUCUUAGGAUCCAUUUGGUAUCAGGAAAAUGACUUGUUGGAGGAAAAUUUUUUUCUGUGUAAAAUGUUUUAUAGAAAAAUUUGAUAUUUUCUAUUAUUUGGAUAAACUAUUAAAAAUAUUUUCUAUUGUUUGGAUCAUUUUAUGAAAAAUAUUUUCC
rnacentral:lncRNA from 1 species